GCAGUGAAGGCGUCUGAAGCAAAAUUCAUUGCUGGGAGAUGGAGAAGAGAGAUUUCCUCUCGACGAAUUUUAUAAUUGCACUUAUUUCUUUCUUGUCGAAUCUAGUGACCACUGCCAGUCAAACUGAGUUUACGUUAGAGUUGUAAAUUGCGGUCUCUAAUAUAGUCUAAACCCCCUUCUAAAAGGAAAUGGAUCAGAGACGGGCUUGGAAAUAUUUCCCAACUGGCUGCUGUGGAGAAGGUGGGCCUGAUAUGUAUCAUUUGGAAAUUUCUCUGAUGUAAAGACUCCCGUGCUGGCAGAUCCUAAACUACUGAGAUGACAUCGCUGAGUGCAGACUUGGGAAGAGACACACACAAUCAGUGCUAACGAGCCUAGCACAGCCUUCUCCAGAACACCACUGAAAGCCUGAUGAAGAAUUGACACCUUCAGGAUCACACAUUUAUUACUCUGGGAUUAGAACUCGGGUGACCUGAACGCUAAACCGGAGCCCAUGUCACCCAGAAAGAUUUGCAUUUUCAGUCUCAUCUUUCACAUUGUCCUGUUAAAGAAAAUCUAAGUGCUAAAGUGAGCGCAACAGCAGAGUGGAUGAAGAGGUUGCCAUCUCGGAGCCCUGAGGAAAUUGGCAGUGGCCGAAGUGUUAUUUUAAAAACAGUUCACCGAAACUCUGGAGAAGAAAGCUCUCAUGCUUAUAUUAAAAAAAUAUGGAGCAAUAAAGUCAUCAAUCAGAAUAUUUGUUUGCCCUAUAAUGUUCUAUCUGACUACACUUUUAUCCAUGGAUCGUCUAUAUUUUAUUCCAAAUUCCCUUUAUCAUAGUUUCAGGCAAGUAGACAGUGCAUAGUUUUAAUCUAGAAAUCACAGUUUUCUUUUCAAAGUGUGACAUUCAUUAUGCAAUUCUUAGAAACAGGUAACCUUGGGUAAAGUCUUUUAAACUCCCAUUGAUUUUCUUACAGCAGACUUAACAUUUUACCUAAACGAAUUGCUUAAGUUUUUUGGUUUAUUAGAAUCAGAAUUAGACAAAUUUUCAAGGUAUAUUGUUUCUAACAAAGCCUUUAUCUUCCAGAACAAAACUCAUGCAUAUUCAAAGGACUAUGUUUCAGAAAGUGUCUCAGCUUAAUACCAACUGAUAUAUUCCACCUAUGUAACCUUACAGAAGUCCAGUGUUGCUUGGGUUCAUUAAAAUUUUCAUUUUUUCCUCUGCUUUACAAUUCGCCAGUUGGUAAAUUAGAAAAAAAAUGAUAUGCGCUAAAGACAAUAUAGAAGGUCUAAACUCUCAAAUCUUUUAUCAACAGGCUGUUAGGAAGGUUGGCCUAAUUACCUUUUCUCUCUUUAAAAAUGUG
rnacentral:lncRNA from 1 species